rnacentral:rRNA from 1 species
ACACAUGCAAGUCGAGGGGCAGCAUCAUCAAAGCUUGCUUUGAUGGAUGGCGACCGGCGCACGGGUGAGUAACACGUAUCCAACCUGCCGACAACACUGGGAUAGCCUUUCGAAAGAAAGAUUAAUACCGGAUGGUAUAGUUUUCCCGCAUGGGAUGAUUAUUAAAGAAUUUCGGUUGUCGAUGGGGAUGCGUUCCAUUAGGCAGUUGGCGGGGUAACGGCCCACCAAACCUACGAUGGAUAGGGGUUCUGAGAGGAAGGUCCCCCACAUUGGAACUGAGACACGGUCCAAACUCCUACGGGAGGCAGCAGUGAGGAAUAUUGGUCAAUGGACGAGAGUCUGAACCAGCCAAGUAGCGUGAAGGAUGACUGCCCUAUGGGUUGUAAACUUCUUUUAUACGGGAAUAAAGUGAGCCACGUGUGGCUUUUUGUAUGUACCGUAUGAAUAAGGAUCGGCUAACUCCGUGCCAGUAGCCGCGGUAAUACGGAGGAUCCGAGCGUUAUCCGGAUUUAUUGGGUUUAAAGGGAGCGUAGGCGGGUUGUUAAGUCAGUUGUGAAAGUUUGCGGCUCAACCGUAAAAUUGCAGUUGAUACUGGCGACCUUGAGUGCAACAGAGGUAGGCGGAAUUCGUGGUGUAGCGGUGAAAUGCUUAGAUAUCACGAAGAACUCCGAUUGCGAAGGCAGCUUACUGGAUUGUAACUGACGCUGAUGCUCGAAAGUGUGGGUAUCAAACAGGAUUAGAUACCCUGGUAGUCCACACAGUAAACGAUGAAUACUCGCUGUUGGCGAUAUACUGUCAGCGGCCAAGCGAAAGCAUUAAGUAUUCCACCUGGGGAGUACGCCGGCA